rnacentral:tmRNA from 1 species
GGGGGCGUCAGGGUUCGACAGAGACGCUUCAGGCGCAGGUUGCGAGCCGAGGCGCCGCUGGCCUCGUAAAAAAGCGGCAAACAAGAAGUGCGAAUAACUAUGCACUCGCUGCCUAAUUAAGGCAGCCGUCUCGCUGUGCCCCGGUCGGCCGGGUACGGCUCAGGCGUGAAAAAGGUCGACUUGCUUCCAAAGGCUCGGCUCUUGGCCCAGGAAGGAGAUCAAGAGGGCUGGCGACGCAAAGCCCCGUUCGUCGGGACAGCGGCGCGAGACAAUAAAGGCGAUCUACGCUCGUAGAGGCUUGCGAAUCUGACGGCUUUGGAAGGGGGUUCAAUUCCCCCCGCCUCCACCA